CCCACCCACCAAUUCUUACAGCACUUUCUCAGCGCAUUUCACCUUGACGAGGACGCACGCGCCACUAAGUGCAUACAAAACGGAGAAAGCAUCAUAGAUCUAUACGCACCUACAGCCACAUACACCACUUGGCACCCCUCAUGAACGCGAGCGUGGGGCUCUCACUCACGCUCGCUCUGUACCGUCAACCUUACCAGCAGUCCGCCCCUGCCGCUUCUCCAUCUUGGUGUCCUCCCCAAAUCACCACACACCGGCUUUCUCUGUUCGGUGACUGCGACAAGGACGAGGGUCCUGCGCUGCACUAAGGCACUCAUGGAGGAGGUGAAGUGCAGUUUGCUGAGCUUUAACUCAGCACUUCUGAGUCAGACGCUGGACGCACCUUCGUCAGCGGCCGAUGCGAGGGCAGCGGAUUCGAAUGCUGACAGUGCAGCUGGCGCAUCUGCAGAACCCUUUCGCAGGUACUGUGAGGCGCUGCCCUUUCACCCCACAGAGCAGCAGCUUCUGCAGCGUGCCCUGCCUCUGGGUCGCAGCUAUCACACGCUUCUGCGCGCCACGCAGGAGGCCGCUGUCGGGCGCGUCGAGGGGCUGUAUCCGGCUGCUAUUGCGAAUGGGGUGAAGAAGGUUCUUUUCAACUACGCCGAGGCGGUGAAAGCGGCCGAGACGCCGUCGGCGCUUGCGGCGCUCCCGGCUACAUACGCCCUGACUUUCACCCUCCUGGAGGCCAUCGUCAAGCAGCAGCAGCGGACGGAGGUGUGUCUGCCGUUGCUCGACAGUUUUCUUCACAAUCAGGAGGUCCCGGCAGCGUUUCGGCGUCUUCUCGGGGAAAGCGUGUGGCUCGCGCUGCUCUACACAACAGCGCACUACAUUGCCCACGGUGUCGUGCUGCACGCACGCCCAGACUACUUCAUUGCUGUGCGCGCCAAAUCAACGGAGACCGCAGCGGCGACGGCGGCGGUGAGGAGUGCCUCGACCGGUUUCGGCGGUGGCGCUGGGGAGGAGCACAUCCUCUACACAGACCGUCUUCCGCUCGGUGUGUCCCCUGAACUGGGCCUCCUGAUACUGGCGGCUGGUAAAGAGCGACGGGUGCUGCUGCGCGACAUGGAUGUGCAGGGUGGCAGCGACUACCUGGAGCAGCUGGCUCUCGGUUCCCAGGACGAAGCCGCCAAUGCUGUCUUUCACUCCAUCUUCAACGCGCAGCUGUGUCAUGGUGGCGUUCUGGUGGCAGAGGAGUUAGCGGCGCGUGUGGAGGCGGCAAAGACGUUGUGGUCCAAGGCAUUGUGGAUGAAGGUCGGCGAUCUGCCCUCGCUGAAGGUGAACCUUGCCGCUCUGCGCAGCAUGUUUCUCUGCCACCGCGGCGACGUUUGGUACGCCUUUGUGGAGCGCGUGCUGCCUGUUCUUGCUGAUGUGCUGCCGUCGCUGUCGCCCGCUGCCGCCCUGGAAGUGGCCGAGGGCGCCAAUGCCGAGGGAGAGAAGCAGGUGAAUGCAGCAGAUGCUCCGGCUCGCGAGUCUCAUGUCGCGGCGCCCCGUAGCGCCUACCUGCAGCGCAUCGCAUCUGAAGCUUUCUUGUUCGCUCUCUCCGUCAGCAAUCUGCGCGACACUGUAGCAUACGAGGCGUUCACGAUGCGGGUGAAGUCGUGCCGUGUACAGCAGGCGGAUGCGGCCUUCGCCGCUGAUGGUCCGACGCGAGUGGCCCGACAUACCCGCGGUGGCGGUGGUGCGGCCGGCUCAACAGAGGACGUGGCGCGGCACCUCCUGCUCAUCGUUGAGGCUCUUUAUCUGCAGUAUAUCCCUCCUCAAGGUCUGCUGCUGAUCGUGUCGCACAAGGCGAUGCAGUACUACCAACGACUCUUCUUGUUUCAUCUCGCCCUCCGCUUCUCACUGGAGGCGCUUGCGGUGACGCGCUCGCUCCUCUCAGAGGCGUUGGUGACCAAUACGAGACCCUCGGCAGACCUGCGCCGCGCAUUUUCGCUGUUUCAGUUUAUCCACUUCAUGGAGUCCUCGCUUGGCUACUACAUGCAAGUGGAUGUCAUUAGCGUGUUUACCGCGAAGCUCGAGGAGCAGCUCGCGUCUGCCGCAUGCACGAGCGUGGAUCAGGCAAAACGCUUCCACGACCAGUUCAUAUGGCAUGUGCUGGAGGCCACGUUCCUCACGGAGGGCUCCGAGCCGCUUCUGCGCGCGUGCCAGUCCCUCAACAUCUGUGCGACAACCCUCUACAUCCUAUGCAUGCGCUAUCGCAUUCCCUACUGGGCGGUCGAUGGCGUCAAUGAGACCCCGGUGGAGGUGCGUGCGACGCUGAUUGCUCUCGAGGCGCGUGUACAGCAGGAGGUUGUGGCGGUGUUCACGGGUCACCUCGGCCUCGGUGGGCGUCCUUGGGAGCGCGCGCUGUGGUCGCGCCUCGACUUCAACGGCUACUUCUCCCAGCACCGCGGCCGGCCAGCGGUUCCUGUGCCACUGCGGAGUGCCAGUGCGUCAGCAAAUACGUUCAGGCAGCCGCACCACACACGCGUACAUAGCACCGGCGGGCCUUCGCGCUCGAGCAGUGUGGCUGCAAAACCACACCGUCAUCACAUAACAUCGAGGCGGACAUCAGCUGGGUGACAUGGCGGCGCUGGAUGAGUAAAAGGCGCGCAGGGGAUGCAGUCUCUCCCACGCUCGUGUUCUCUUCGCUGUUGUCCACCACUCAGGUGAGCCCGUCUUCUGUGUCGCGUUUCUGUGGCUUCUAGGAGGGCUCUAUGGACGAGUUUGCCGAGCACACGCACCAUCGUGCACACGCCGUCUCCGCAUUUCUGUGCCGUGCUGACGCCGCUUUUCUCUGUUCCUUUUUGUUCGUCGCAAAGUACUGUUUUCUGCCUUUUGUGUGCGCUGCAGUC
rnacentral:misc_RNA from 1 species